GACGAACGCUGGCGGUGUGCUUAACACAUGCAAGUCGAACGGUAAGGCCCUUUCGGGGGUACACGAGUGGCGAACGGGUGAGUAACACGUGAGUAACCUGCCCUCAUCUCUGGGAUAACAGUCGGAAACGGUUGCUAAUACUGGAUAUGAGCUUGCAAGGCAUCUUGUGGGUUGGAAAGAUUUUUUUUGGUUGGGGAUGGACUCGCGGCCUAUCAGCUUGUUGGUGAGGUAGCGGCUCACCAAGGCUUCGACGGGUAGCCGGCCUGAGAGGGCGACCGGCCACAUUGGGACUGAGAUACGGCCCAAACUCCUACGGGAGGCAGCAGUGGGGAAUAUUGCACAAUGGACGGAAGUCUGAUGCAGCAACGCCGCGUGCGGGAUGACGGCCUUCGGGUUGUAAACCGCUUUCAAUUGUGACGAAGCUUUUUUGUGACGGUAGCAGUAGAAGAAGCACCGGCUAACUACGUG
rnacentral:rRNA from 1 species